UGGGUACACGCUAACAUAAAAGUACCCAUUAAAUGGGUUUCUAGUACCCAUUUUUAUGGUCAGUAUGGAGUUGUCAGAAAAAGAGUACUUUUCAGUGACAUAAAAAAGGGUACUUUAACCUCAUUAUGAAGUAUUCUUCCAGCUAAUAUAAAUGGGUACAUAGUACACAUGAUGUAGUUUGCAAGGCAAUAGCGCCAUUUUCAAUUUCAGUUGUUUUUCCGCUCGGUGUUAAUGAAAAAAGUCAGGGUUUAUUUCAUUGUUCGACAAAUAAAUAAUUAUGGAGGAGCAGAUUGCACGCACUCUUUGCGACACAUUUUUGGAUGACUGCAGCUGAGUUCAAUGCCAACUGCAGCGAUUUCCGUAGUACCUGGGUCGUCUACUAAAUGAUCAUAUACAUGUUGAAUUAUUGUUUUGUUAAAUUAUGAAAUAAAUGUACGAUGUAUUUUAUUAAUUCCGUUA